rnacentral:rRNA from 1 species
CCUACGGGGGGCAGCAGUGGGGAAUAUUGGACAAUGGGGGCAACCCUGAUCCAGCCAUGCCGCGUGUGUGAAGAAGGCCCUCGGGUUGUAAAGCACUUUCAGUGAGGAAGAACGCCUGGUGGUUAAUACCCAUCAGGAAAGACAUCACUCACAGAAGAAGCACCGGCUAACUCCGUGCCAGCAGCCGCGGUAAUACGGAGGGUGCGAGCGUUAAUCGGAAUUACUGGGCGUAAAGCGCGCGUAGGUGGCUUGAUAAGCCGGUUGUGAAAGCCCCGGGCUCAACCUGGGAACGGCAUCCGGAACUGGCAAGCUAGAGUGCAGGAGAGGUAGGUAGAAUUCCCGGUGUAGCGGUGAAAUGCGUAGAGAUCGGGAGGAAUACCAGUGGCGAAGGCGGCAUUCUGGACUGACACUGACACUGAGGUGCGAAAGCGUGGGUAGCAAACAGGAUUAGAUACACCGGUAGUC